rnacentral:piRNA from 1 species
UCAAUACAUCACACUCUGUUCUAAGU